UGGGGAAUAUUGGACAAUGGGCGCAAGCCUGAUCCGAGCGACGCCGGCGUGUAGUGAAGAAGGCCUCGCGGGUUGUAAAGCACUUUCGAUGGGAACGAAAUGUGCCGGGUUAAUACCCCGGUAAGCUGACGUUACUCAAUGAAGAAGCACCGGCUAACUCUGUGCCAGCAGCCGCGGUAAUACAGAGGGUGCGAGCGUUAAUCGGAAUUACUGGGCGUAAAGCGCACGUAGGUGGCGACGUAAGUCGGGUGUGAAAGCCCCGGGCUCAACCUGGGAAUUGCAUUCGAGACUGCAUUGCUGGAGUACGGAAGAGGAGGGCGGAAUUCCCGGUGUAGCGGUGAAAUGCGUAGAUAUCGGGAGGAACAUCAGUGGCGAAGGCGGCCCUCUGGUCCAGUACUGACACUCAAGUGCGAAAGCGUGGGGAGCAAACAGGAUUAGAUACCCCUGUAGUCCCUGAGCGGGCUGGCAAGGCGCAU
rnacentral:rRNA from 1 species